GUUUGGAGUGGUUGUCCACCAUGCUGGAGGAGUCGUCGAUGGCCAGGCAGAUCUGGUACUCCCUCUUGCUGGGCUUGGUUCUCCGGAGCCAGAUCUUGUCCUUGCGGAACUGACUGGCGAUGUAAGGGAUGACCUUCCUCAUGUUCAGACGCUUACCGGUCCGGUAGUCCCCCCUGUGGAGCGCAGCAUUAGAGCAGGGCAUCAACUAGUAACCAACUAGUUACCAACCCCCCUGUGGAGACCAGCAUUAGAGCAGUAUUACCAACUAGUUACCAACCCCCCUGUGGAGACCAGCGCAGCAUUAGAGCAGUAGUAUCAACUAGUUACCAACUAGUGACCAACUAGUGACCAACUAGUGACCAACUAGUUGCAAACCCCCCUGUUGAGACCAGCGUAGCAUUAGAGCAGGAACAUCAACUAGUUACCAUCUAGUUACCAACUAGUUACAACCCCCUGGGGAGGACUAGAUCAGAUCACCCAUCUCUUAAUUCAUGUCCCUUGUGGAGCAGGAGAUGAGAUUGAGAUCACAUCAUUUAGUAAAUAAAGUACAAACAAUAAAAACAAAAUAAAUAUCGAUAAGACUACUUUGCUGCCAUGUCCCCUUUGAAGAUGCUGGUCAGGUCAGAGGGUAGGGGUUAGGUCAAAGAUGGAACUAUUAGGGAUGAGGUCAACGUCAGACCCCAGGCUGGCUCUGGGGUCAGCUGUCAGGGUUAGGAGGGGUGCUGUGGUCCAGGGGUGGUAGGGUCAUGGGUUAGGGUCAGGGGUCAGGGUACUGAGUUCCAGGGCUGGUAGAGUCAUGAGUUAGGGUCAGGGGUCAUGGGUUAGGAUCAGGGGUCAGGGUACUGACUUGAGCUUGGCGGCCUGGGUGGGCUCCAGGAUCAUGCGGAGCUGCUCACAGAGCUGCUGGGCCAGACCGGAGGUCAGGGUCUGGUACUGGUGCCACAUGGAGGCCGCCGCACGCUCCU
ensembl:lncRNA